rnacentral:misc_RNA from 1 species
AUUUCUUUGUGCCUUUAACAACUAUGGUUGAAUCUGUCUGUCUAUGAUUAACUUUAUACUGUGGUCAUUUUGGCCAUUUAUUGGAUCUUGGGGCAUGUAUGUUGUGCUUAUGGUGCUGUCUAUCAUAUGGUAUAUUUAUUAUUAUUUUUGUUUAUUCCAUUAAUCAAGCUCAUAUUUAACCUAAUAACUUUAGGAGAGAUGCUUGUAAUAUA